rnacentral:rRNA from 1 species
UACGUAGGGGGGCUAGCGUUGCCCGGAUUUAUUGGGCGUAAAGAGCGUGUAGGCGGCCAGGUAGGUCUGCUGUGAAAACUCGAGGCUCAACCUCGAGACGUCGGCGGAAACCAUCUGGCUAGAGUCCGGAAGAGGAGAGUGGAAUUCCUGGUGUAGCGGUGAAAUGCAUAGAUAUCUGGAGGAACACCGGUGGCGAAGGCGGCAUCCUGGACCGGUAUUGACGCUGAGGCGCGAAAGCCAGGGGAGCAAACGGG